ACACAGAUUUGGAUCCUUGCUACUCAAAUGUUGGUCUGUAGGCCAGCAGUACUGUCAUCAGAAUCAGAAUCUCCAUUUACAUGAGAUUCACAAACACUUGUAAGUCUGAGAAAAUGCUGCCCUAGCAUUGGCAUUUCAACGCUGGCCUCACAUUAGAAUCACCUGCAGAGCUUUAACACUCCCAUUGUCUGGGCUCACCCUGCACCUAUCAACCUGAGCCCAGCACUGGGAGCUAAUGAUCUCAAUGCUGCUCCAAGCUACCAGCUUGCAGGAGCCUGAGCCCACGAUGCCUUCUGGCUGACAGAGUGCCUGACCAACCAGGUGGUCCAAUUCCUGGACCGGCUGAUGCCCCUGCUCCAGGAUCUGGUGCCCCCUGCCUUGUAUCUGCCCGUCCACUCCCAGGGCUGCCCCGCAGGUGCCCACACAGUCCUCAACUCUGACCUCACCGCUCAGGCUCUCCGAACCCUCUGCCCAGGACACUAGCCUACUUUUGUCACGAAAAUGUUGCUUCUUCCCUCUCUGAGUCCACAUCCCCCACACUGUACUGAGCCCUGGGAUAAGGCCCAGGGGGCUUCAGUCCCUGCACGAGGUUCAUGGUUGCCCUGGAGAAUGCUGCAGAUGGACGGUGGGUGGCCCUGCCCCUCCACACCCUAGGGAAUGGGCUGCACCUUUGUAGGAACCUGAAUGCUGGGCUGCCAGGUUUUAGACAGAGCAAAGCACAGCAUGACCCUGAUCCCCUACAGUCCAGACCCUGCCCCAGAUGGGAACCAGAGGAUUCUCAAUACCUUCCUGGUUAUCCUCAGGUCCUGGCAGUCACUGUGGUCACUUCAGGAUAUGAUGCAGGCUUUGGGUUGAGUCAGUAUUAAGUCUCCUAUUCCCCUGAAUGCAGUGUCUGAGUGCUGGGGUGGGAAGGAGGACUGGCAGGGCUCUCCUUUGGCUGGCAUCUGCCACUGCCUCUGUGAGCUUUGUCCAGCCAGGGGCUGGCAGGCACUUGAAAGAGACCCAGGGAUGCCCCCCUACAGCUGCACCUCUCUGGCUAUGACUUCCCUCCCC
rnacentral:lncRNA from 1 species